rnacentral:rRNA from 1 species
GAUGAACGCUGGCGGCGUGCCUAAUACAUGCAAGUCGAGCGAACAGACGAGGAGCUUGCUCCUCUGACGUUAGCGGCGGACGGGUGAGUAACACGUGGAUAACCUACCUAUAAGACUGGGAUAACUUCGGGAAACCGGAGCUAAUACCGGAUAAUAUAUUGAACCGCAUGGUUCAAUAGUGAAAGACGGUUUUGCUGUCACUUAUAGAUGGAUCCGCGCCGCAUUAGCUAGUUGGUAAGGUAACGGCUUACCAAGGCAACGAUGCGUAGCCGACCUGAGAGGGUGACCGGCCACACUGGAACUGAGACACGGUCCAGACUCCUACGGGAGGCAGCAGUAGGGAAUCUUCCGCAAUGGGCGAAAGCCUGACGGAGCAACGCCGCGUGAGUGAUGAAGGUCUUCGGAUCGUAAAACUCUGUUAUCCGGGAAGAACACAUGUGUAAGUAACUAUGCACGUCUUGACGGUACCUAAUCAGAAAGCCACGGCUAACUACGUG